GAUGAACGCUGGCGGCGUGCCUAAUACAUGCAAGUCGAGCGAACAGACGAGGAGCUUGCUCCUCUGACGUUAGCGGCGGACGGGUGAGUAACACGUGGAUAACCUACCUAUAAGACUGGGAUAACUUCGGGAAACCGGAGCUAAUACCGGAUAAUAUAUUGAACCGCAUGGUUCAAUAGUGAAAGACGGUUUUGCUGUCACUUAUAGAUGGAUCCGCGCCGCAUUAGCUAGUUGGUAAGGUAACGGCUUACCAAGGCAACGAUGCGUAGCCGACCUGAGAGGGUGGAGGGGCCGCAGGGGAGGAGGAACCGGCACCAGACACGUGCGGGAGGCAGCAGAGGGAAUUCCUCAGAAGGGGGCAAAGGCGGAAGGGAGAAACGCGGGGGGAGGAUGAAGGGUCUUGGGAGCGAAAACCUGUUUAUUGGAGAAAAAAAAAAUGUUAAGGUAAAAAGACGCGCCUAGACGGGCCUUAAUAGAAGGACCACGGCAAACCCGGGC
rnacentral:rRNA from 1 species